rnacentral:sRNA from 14 species
GUGUGUGUGUGUGUGUGUGUGUGUGUGUGUCGGGGGUACAGAAAGGGAGGGAGGCCGUGGGUGGUUGGGGGGAUGUGUGUGUGUGCUUACCUCCUUCCUUGUAACUGUGUGUCUCUUUCAUCUUUCGCCUCCCUCUGUCCUACACUCUCUCUCUCUCUCUCUCUCUCUCUCUCUCCUUCCUCGCGGUCACACACACACACACACACACACACACACAC